rnacentral:rRNA from 1 species
GCAAGUCGAACGGCAGCGCGAGGAGCUUGCCCCUUGGCGGCGAGUGGCGAACGGGUGAGUAACACGUAGGAAACUACCUAGUAGCGGGGGAUAACCCGAGGAAACUCGGGCUAAUACCGCGUAAGCUCUACGGAGGAAAGAGGGGGAUCUUCGGACCUUGCGCUAUUAGAUGUGCCUGCGUCGGAUUAGCUAGUUGGUGAGGUAAUGGCUCACCAAGGCUACGAUCCGUAGCUGGUUUGAGAGGAUGACC